CUUGUUGGUCUGCGUCUUCCUCUAUUUCUCUCAUUGAUCUUUUUUUCCUCACAUAUGGAGACCUGUAAUCCUCCAUCAUGAAUUGUUUGGGGGGAAUCCUCCCCUGAUUGACUAAAAAAUCAUUUUCUAUAAGUACCUCCGAAUUGUGUGGGUUGGUUCUUCUACCUUUGUUGGUAGUGUUGUUAGAUUCAGUCCUUUUAUGGUCCGUAGGGAGAGCAUUACCAUCUGGGGUAUAUUGG